AUGUGAAGCACCGGGUCAUGC
rnacentral:misc_RNA from 1 species